CAGCCGCCGCGGUAAAACCAGCACCUCAAGUGGUCAGGAUGAUUAUUGGGCCUAAAGCAUCCGUAGCCCGUUUUGUAAGUUUUCGGUUAAAUCCAUGCGCUUAACGUAUGGGCUGCCGGGAAUACUGCAUAACUAGGAAGUGGGAGAGGUAGACGGUACUCGGUAGGAAGGGGUAAAAUCCUUUGAUCUAUUGAUGACCACCUGUGGCGAAGGCGGUCUACCAGAACACGUUCGACGGUGAGGGAUGAAAGCUGGGGGAGCAAACCGGAUUAGAUACCCGGGUAGUCCCAGCUGUAAACUAUGCAAACUCAGUGAUGCAUUGGCUUAUGGCCAAUGCAGUGCUGCAGGGAAGCCGUUAAGUUUGCCGCCUGGGAAGUACGUACGCAAGUAUGAAACUUAAAGGAAUUGGCGGGGGAACACA
rnacentral:rRNA from 1 species